UACGACUACAUAUCAGGCAUAUCAAUAAGCGGAGGAAAAGAAACUAACAAGGAUUCCCUAGUAACGGCGAGUGAAGCGGGAAGAGCUCAAAUUUGAAAUCUUCAAGGUUCUACCUUGACGAAUUGUAGUUUAAAGAAGUGUUCUCUGUUAGAUGAGUAGCAAAAGUUCCUUGGAAUGGGACAUCAUAGAGGGUGAGAAUCCCGUAUUUGGUUAUUCAUUCUAGCUUUAUGAUACACUUUCAAAGAGUCGGAUUGUUUGGGAAUGCAGUCCAAAAUGGGUGGUAAAUUUCAUCUAAAGCUAAAUAUUGGCGAGAGACCGAUAGCGAACAAGUACCGUGAGGGAAAGAUGAAAAGAACUUUGAAAAGAGAGUUAAACAGUACGUGAAAUUGUCAAAAGGGAAGCGUUUGACACCAGUGUUGUUUUUCCGAAAAUCAAUUACGAAUGGCUUGAUUUUGUGUUGUAUUGACCUUAUCAGCUUUCUUCACUUUUUUCGAGUCUUUCUUAAUGCACUUUUCGGUUAACAAGUCAACAUCAAUUUCUUUUGUUGUAAAAGAGUAUUCGGAAGGUGGCUUUCUUUUCGGAGAAAGUGUUUAUAGCCCUAUACUUCUACAAUCGGAGAGAUUGAGGUCUGCAGCGUAGAUCCUUCGGGGUUAGAUUACACUUGUGCUAAGUUGUAGCUUUUCAUAGACAACUUGUUGACUAUGUUUAGUCAUGCGGCUUACUCGCUUGUGCUAUUUUACCUACGCUUAGGAUGUUGAGUAGCGACAUACGCAC
rnacentral:rRNA from 1 species